rnacentral:rRNA from 1 species
AUUGAACGCUGGCGGCAGGCCUAACACAUGCAAGUCGAGCGGAUGACAGGAGCUUGCUCCUGGAUUCAGCGGCGGACGGGUGAGUAAUGCCUAGGAAUCUGCCUGGUAGUGGGGGACAACGUUUCGAAAGGAACGCUAAUACCGCAUACGUCCUACGGGAGACAGCAGGGGACCUUCGGGCCUUGCGCUAUCAGAUGAGCCUAGGUCGGAUUAGCUAGUUGGUGAGGUAAUGGCUCACCAAGGCGACGAUCCGUAACUGGUCUGAGAGGAUGAUCAGUCACACUGGAACUGAGACACGGUCCAGACUCCUACGGGAGGCAGCAGUGGGGAAUAUUGGACAAUGGGCGAAAGCCUGAUCCAGCCAUGCCGCGUGUGUGAAGAAGGUCUUCGGAUUGUAAAGCACUUUAAGUCGGGAGGAAGGGUUGUAAAAUAAUACUCUGCAAUUUUGACGUUACCGACAGAAUAAGCACCGGCUAACUCUGUGCCAGCCGCCGCCGUAAUAC